GCAGGAGGACGACCUCCCCCAUAGUGGGAACCGAAUCGGGACGGCCCGG
rnacentral:ncRNA from 1 species